rnacentral:rRNA from 1 species
AGAGUUUGAUCCUGGCUCAGGAUGAACGCUAGCGGCAGGCUUAACACAUGCAAGUCGAGGGGCAGCGGGGAGGAAGCUUGCUUUCUCCGCCGGCGACCGGCGCACGGGUGAGUAACACGUAUGCAACCUGCCCCUGUCAGGGGGACAACCCGCCGAAAGGCGGGCUAAACCCGCGUACAUGCCACCGGGGCAUCCCGGAGGCAGGAAAGGCUUCGGCCGGACAGGGAUGGGCAUGCGGCGCAUUAGGCAGUAGGCGGGGUAACGGCCCACCUAACCGACGAUGCGUAGGGGUUCUGAGAGGAAGGUCCCCCACACUGGUACUGAGACACGGACCAGACUCCUACGGGAGGCAGCAGUGAGGAAUAUUGGUCAAUGGUCGGGAGACUGAACCAGCCAAGCCGCGUGAGGGAGGAAGGUACAGAGUAUCGUAAACCUCUUUUGUCAGGGAACAAAGGCGGGGACGUGUCCCCGGAUGAGUGUACCUGAAGAAAAAGCAUCGGCUAACUCCGUGCCAGCAGCCGCGGUAAUACGGAGGAUGCGAGCGUUAUCCGGAUUUAUUGGGUUUAAAGGGUGCGCAGGCGGUCUGUUAAGUCAGCGGUCAAAGCCCGGGGCUCAACCCCGGCCCGCCGUUGAAACUGGCAGUCUCGAGUUGGAGAGAAGUAUGCGGAAUGCGCGGUGUAGCGGUGAAAUGCAUAGAUAUCGCGCAGAACUCCGAUUGCGAAGGCAGCAUGCCGGCUCCACACUGACGCUGAGGCACGAAAGCGUGGGUAUCGAACAGGAUUAGAUACCCUGGUAGUCCACGCAGUAAACGAUGAAUGCUGGCUGUCCGGGGGGAUUGACCCCUGGGUGGCGAAGCGAAAGCGAUAAGCAUUCCACCUGGGGAGUACGCCGGCAACGGUGAAACUCAAAGGAAUUGACGGGGGCCCGCACAAGCGGAGGAACAUGUGGUUUAAUUCGAUGAUACGCGAGGAACCUUACCCGGGCUCAAACGGGGAGUGACUCAGGCAGAGACGCCUGUUUCCCACGGGACACUCCCCGAGGUGCUGCAUGGUUGUCGUCAGCUCGUGCCGUGAGGCGUCGGCUUAAGUGCCAUAACGAGCGCAACCCCCGCGUGCAGUUGCUAACAGAUAACGCUGAGGACUCUGCACGGACUGCCGGCGCAAGCCGCGAGGAAGGCGGGGAUGACGUCAAAUCAGCACGGCCCUUACGUCCGGGGCGACACACGUGUUACAAUGGGUGGUACAGCGGGAAGCCAGGCGGCGACGCCGAGCGGAACCCGAAAUCCACUCUCAGUUCGGAUCGGAGUCUGCAACCCGACUCCGUGAAGCUGGAUUCGCUAGUAAUCGCGCAUCAGCCAUGGCGCGGUGAAUACGUCCCCGGGCCUUGCACACACCGCCCGUCAAG